GUCUUCGGCCAUGCCACCCUGAACAAGCCUGAUCCCGUCUGAUCUCGGAAGCUAAGCAGGGUCAGGCCCGGUUAGUACUUGGAUGGGAGACCACCUAGGAAGACCAGGUGCUGUAGGCA
rnacentral:rRNA from 1 species